rnacentral:lncRNA from 1 species
GUACUACUAAAAUCUUUCUCUUAUUAUCCGUCAUUUCUCUUCUCCAGUUUAACUUCUCUAUAGGACAAAAUGUUCAAGGAGGAUAUUGGUUCCCUGAAAGUGGAUUUGUGGCCUCAGAUAUAAAUUCCAAUCUUUUCACACAUUUAUUUUGUGCAUUUGCAAAUCUUGAUCCCCAAACCUAUCAACUCACAAUUUCCUCCACAAACAAUGCCUCUUUUGCCCAAUUCAAAAGAACUGUACAACUUAAGAACCCUUCUGUCAAAACCCUUUUGUCCAUUGGUGGUGGAAAUGCAGACAAGACUGUUUUUGCUACAAUGGCUGCUCAAUCCACUUCUCGAAAAUCAUUCAUUGGAUAAUUAAUGCAAUCAUAUUUC